rnacentral:rRNA from 1 species
AUGGAUGUUAAGACAACUUUCCUAAAUGGAGAGUUGGAGGAGGAAAUUUACAUGGAACAACCCGAUGGUUUUGUAGUAGAUGGUCAUGAAGGAAAAGUGUGUAAAUUGUUGAAAUCUUUGUAUGGUUUGAGACAAGAACCUAAGCAAUGGCACGAGAAGUUUGAAAGAACUUUGACUUCUACGGGCUUUGUUGCAAAUGAAGCCAACAAGUGUGUGUACUAUCGCCAUGGUGGGGGCGAAGGAGUUAUAUUAUGUUUGUAUGUUGAUGACAUACUUAUAUUUGGAACAAAUAUCAAGGUCAUUCAGGAAGUGAAAGAUUUUCUGAAUCAAAACUUUGAGAUGAAAGACCUUGGAGUAGCUGAUGUUAUCUUGAACAUCAAGCUUUUAAGAGGUGGUGAUGGUGGGAUCACUCUCUUGCAGUCUCACUAUGUGGAGAAGAUUCUGGGUCGCUUUGGAUAUUCAGAUUGCAAACCUUCUCCGACACCUUAUGAUCCGAGUGUUUUGAUUCGGAAGAACGAAGGAGAAACAAAGGAUCAAUUGAGAUAUUCUCAAAUCAUUGGCUCGCUUAUGUAUUUAGCUAGUGCUACGAGGCCUGACAUCUCGUUUUCUGUGAGUAAACUAAGCCGGUUUGUUUCAAAACCGGGAGAUGUUCAUUGGCAUGCACUUGAGAGAAUAAUGCGCUAUCUGAAAGGUACUGCGAGUUAUGGGCUUCACUAUACCGGGUAUCCAAGAGUACUCGAAGGUUAUAGUGAUGCAAAUUGGAUAUCUGAUGCUGAUGAGCUUAAAGCGACAAGCGGUUAUGUGUUUACACUUGGUGGUGCUGCUGUUUCCUGGAAGUCUUGCAAGCAGACCAUCUUAACAAGGUCAACAAUGGAAGCAGAACUCACAACAUUAGACACGGCAACAGUUGAAGCAGAAUGGCUUCGAGAACUUUUGAUGGACUUGCCGGUGGUUGAAAAACCAAUACCAGCUAUUCUAAUGAACUGUGAUAAUCAAACAGUGAUCGUCAAGACUGAAAUCUGUCAGGUUCAUGAGAAACUCCGGAGUUAUAGCGUUGGACUAUAUAAACACAUCGAAGAAUCUGGCAGAUCCCUUCACAAAGGGUUUAUCACGAAAUGUGAUAGACAAUGCAUCGAAGGAGAUGGGAUUGAGACCCAUUACAUAAGUUGUUCAUGGUGGUAA